rnacentral:lncRNA from 1 species
GGGUCAUGUCCUCCAUAAGCUGUAACUGCUCCAUGUCCCGUCUAAUCACUUUCCUCCAAUAUUUCUUCGGCCUACCCCUACCCCGCCUGAAACCAUCGAAAGUCAGUCUCUCACACCUACGAACUGGGGCCUCCGUGCCCCUCCUACUCACAUGCCCGAACCAUCUCAACCGAACUUCCUGCAUCUUGUCCUCCACCGAAGUCACUUCAACCUUCUCCCGAAUAAUCUCAUUCCUAACCCUAUCAC